rnacentral:rRNA from 1 species
ACGCACGCUGGCGGCGUGCUUAACACAUGCAAGUCGAACGGGCCCGCUCCCUUUUUUGGGGGUGGGUUGAGUGGCGAACGGGUGAGUAUCACGUGAGUAACCUGCCCCCUGCUCCUGGAUAACUGCUUGAAAGGGCGGCUAAUACGGGGUGUGCCGGCUGGUCCGCAUGGGCCUGGUCGGGAUAGUUUCAUCUUCGGGUGUUUCGGUGGGGGAUGGGCUCGCGGCCUAUCAGCUUGUUGGUGGGGUGAUGGCCCACCAAGGCGGUGACGGGUAGCCGGCCUGAGAGGGUGGGCGGCCACACUGGGACUGAGACACGGCCCAGACUCCUGCGGGAGGCAGCAGUGGGGGGUAUUGCACAAUGGGCGGAAGCCUGAUGCAGCGACGUCGCGUGAGGGAUGGAGGCCUUCGGGUUGUGAACCUCUUUCUCCGGCGGUGAAGGCCCUGUCCGUUGCGGCGGGGUUGACGGUAGCCGGGUAUGAAGCGCCGGCUAACUACGUG